CCAGACUCAUACGGGAGGCAGCAGUAGGGAAUCUUCCACAAUGGGCGCAAGCCUGAUGGAGCAACACCGCGUGAGUGAAGAAGGGUUUCGGCUCGUAAAGCUCUGUUGUUAAAGAAGAACACGUAUGAGAGUAACUGUUCAUACGUUGACGGUAUUUAACCAGAAAGUCACGGCUAACUACGUGCCAGCAGCCGCGGUAAUACGUAGGUGGCAAGCGUUAUCCGGAUUUAUUGGGCGUAAAGAGAGUGCAGGCGGUUUUCUAAGUCUGAUGUGAAAGCCUUCGGCUUAACCGGAGAAGUGCAUCGGAAACUGGAUAACUUGAGUGCAGAAGAGGGUAGUGGAACUCCAUGUGUAGCGGUGGAAUGCGUAGAUAUAUGGAAGAACACCAGUGGCGAAGGCGGCUACCUGGUCUGCAACUGACGCUGAGACUCGAAAGCAUGGGUAGCGAACAGGAUUAGAUACCCUGGUAGUCCAUGCCGUAAACGAUGAGUGCUAGGUGUUGGAGGGUUUCCGCCCUUCAGUGCCGGAGCUAACGCAUUAAGCACUCCGCCUGGGGAGUACGACCGCAAGGUUGAAACUCAAAGGAAUUGACGGGGGCCCGCACAAG
rnacentral:rRNA from 1 species